rnacentral:rRNA from 1 species
GACGAACGCUGGCGGCGUGCUUAACACAUGCAAGUCGAGCGAUGAAGUUCCUUCGGGAACGGAUUAGCGGCGGACGGGUGAGUAACACGUGGGUAACCUGCCUCAUAGAGGGGAAUAGCCUUUCGAAAGGAAGAUUAAUACCGCAUAAGAUUGUAGUGCCGCAUGGCAUAGCAAUUAAAGGAGUAAUCCGCUAUGAGAUGGACCCGCGUCGCUUUAGCUAGUUGGUAAGGUAACGGCUCACCAAGGCGACGAUGCGUAGCCGACCUGAGAGGGUGAUCGGCCACAUUGGGACUGAGACACGGCCCAGACUCCUACGGGAGGCAGCAGUGGGGAAUAUUGCACAAUGGGGGAAACCUUGAUGCAGCAACGCCGCGUGAGUGAUGACGGUCUUCGGAUUGUAAAGCUCUGUCUUCAGGGACGAUAAUGACGGUACCUGAGGAGGAAGCCACGGCUAACUACGUGCCAGCAGCCGCAGUAACAC